rnacentral:rRNA from 1 species
UACAGAGGGGGCAAGCGUUGUUCGGAAUUACUGGGCGUAAAGGGCGCGUAGGCGGCCUGUUAAGUCGAACGUGAAAUCCCCGGGCUCAACCCGGGAACUGCGUCCGAUACUGGCAGGCUUGAAUCCGGGAGAGGGAUGUGGAAUUCCAGGUGUAGCGGUGAAAUGCGUAGAUAUCGGGAGGAACACCUGUGGCGAAAGCGGCGCACUGGACCAUAACUGACGCUGAGGCGCGAAAGCUAGGGGAGCAAACAGG